rnacentral:rRNA from 1 species
CAUGCAGUCGAGCGGCAGCACAGAGAACUUGUUUCUCGGGUGGCGAGCGGCGGACGGGUGAGUAAUGCCUGGGAAAUUGCCCUGAUGUGGGGGAUAACCAUUGGAAACGAUGGCUAAUACCGCAUGAUGCCUAUGGGCCAAAGAGGGGGACCUUCGGGCCUCUCGCGUCAGGAUAUGCCCAGGUGGAAUUAGCUAGUUGGUGAGGUAAGGGCUCACCAAGGCGACGAUCCCUAGCUGGUCUGAGAGGAUGAUCAGCCACACUGGAACUGAGACACGGUCCAGACUCCUACGGGAGGCAGCAGUGGGGAAUAUUGCACAAUGGGCGCAAGCCUGAUGCAGCCAUGCCGCGUGUGUGAAGAAGGCCUUCGGGUUGUAAAGCACUUUCAGUCGUGAGGAAGGUGGUGUUGUUAAUAGCAGCAUCAUUUGACGUUAGCGACAGAAGAAGCACCGGCUAACUCCGUGCCAGCAGCCGCGGUAAUACGGAGGGUGCGAGCGUUAAUCGGAAUUACUGGGCGUAAAGCGCAUGCAGGUGGUUUGUUAAGUCAGAUGUGAAAGCCCCGGGCUCAACCUGGGAAUUGCAUUUGAAACUGGCAAACUAGAGUACUGUAGAGGGGGGUAGAAUUUCAGGUGUAGCGGUGAAAUGCGUAGAGAUCUGAAGGAAUACCGGUGGCGAAGGCGGCCCCCUGGACAGAUACUGACACUCAGAUGCGAAAGCGUGGGGAGCAAACAGGAUUAGAUACCCUGGUAGUCCACGCCGUAACGAUGUCUACUUGGGAGGUUGUGGCCUUGAGCCGUGCUUUCGGAGCUACGCGUUAAGUAGACCGCCUGGGGAGUACGGUCGCAGAUAAACUCAAAGGAGUGGACG